rnacentral:rRNA from 1 species
AUGAACGCUGGCGGCAUGCCUAAUACAUGCAAGUCGAACGAGAGGAAGGAAAGCUUGCUUCCUGAAUCUAGUGGCGAACGGGUGAGUAACACGUAGGUAACCUGCCCAUGUGCCCGGGAUAACUUCUGGAAACGGAUGCUAAAACCGGAUAGGUAGCAGACAAGCAUUUGACUGCUAUUAAAGUGGCCUUGGCCAUGAACAUGGAUGGACCUGCGGUGCAUUAGCUAGUUGGUGAGGUAACGGCUCACCAAGGCGAUGAUGCAUAGCCGAGUUGAGAGACUGAUCGGCCACAUUGGGACUGAGACACGGCCCAAACUCCUACGGGAGGCAGCAGUAGGGAAUCUUCCGCAAUGGACGAAAGUCUGACGGAGCAACGCCGCGUGAACGAUGACGGCCUUCGGGUUGUAAAGUUCUGUUAUACGGGACGAAUGGUACGACGGUCAAUACCCGUCGUAAGUGACGGUACCGUAAGAGAAAGCCACGGCUAACUACGUG